rnacentral:tRNA from 1 species
UCUAUAGUUGAAUUACAACGAUGAUUUUUCAUGUCAUUGGUCACAGUUGAAUGCUGUGUAGAAAUAAUG